GGGGGAUAACCAUUGGAAACGAUGGCUAAUACCGCAUGAUGCCUUAGGGCCAAAGAGGGGGACCUUCGGGCCUCUCGCGUCAGGAUAUGCCUAGGUGGGAUUAGCUAGUUGGUGAGGUAAGGGCUCACCAAGGCGACGAUCCCUAACUGGUCUGAGAGGAUGAUCAGCCACACUGGAACUGAGACACGGUCCAGACUCCUACGGGAGGCAGCAGUGGGGAAUAUUGCACAAUGGGCGCAAGCCUGAUGCACCCAUGCCGCGUGUGUGAAGAAGGCCUUCGGGUUGUAAAGCACUUUCAGUCGUGAGGAAGGCGGUGUAGUUAAUAGCUGCAUUGUUUGACGUUAGCGACAGAAGAAGCACCGGCUAACUC
rnacentral:rRNA from 1 species